AGUGAACGCUGGCGGUAGGCCUAACACAUGCAAGUCGAACGGCAGCACAGUAAGAGCUUGCUCUUACGGGUGGCGAGUGGCGGACGGGCGAGGAAUACAUCGGAAUCUAUUUUUUCGUGGGGGAUAACGUAGGGAAACUUACGCUAAUACCGCAUACGACCUACGGGUGAAAGCAGGGGAUCUUCGGACCUUGCGCGAUUGAAUGAGCCGAUGUCGGAUUAGCUAGUUGGCGGGGUAAAGGCCCACCAAGGCGACGAUCCGUAGCUGGUCUGAGAGGAUGAUCAGCCACACUGGAACUGAGACACGGUCCAGACUCCUACGGGAGGCAGCAGUGGGGAAUAUUGGACAAUGGGCGCAAGCCUGAUCCAGCCAUACCGCGUGGGUGAAGAAGGCCUUCGGGUUGUAAAGCCCUUUUGUUGGGAAAGAAAAGCAGCAGGUUAAUACCCCGCUGUUCUGACGGUACCCAAAGAAUAAGCACCGGCUAACUUCGUG
rnacentral:rRNA from 1 species